UUGGGCAGCAGACACUACAGACUUUUCAGGGAAUAGCUGAGGCCUACCUAGAGACUCACUCUUUCUAGAGUCUCCUGGUUUCCAAUCAGGUACCACCCUGAACACCCACAGCCUCUCUAUGAUGCCUGGCGGGCCCGGUGCCGACGGUGAUUCAGACCUUGGGACACCACGCUACCAGCAGAAGCCUCCAGGAGGCUAGUGUCCCCUGGGACUCUAAGACUGGCUUCCCCUUGACCCCACCUGCUCCCUUUUCCACGAUCCGGGUCCCACCGCACAUCCCAACACUCCCGGAGCAGGAGGAAGGGGUGCGGUGGGGAAGAAGCCCAGAGAAAGGGGCGUGUCCUGGCCAAGGAGCUCAGGGAAGCCCGGCCUUAGGGUCCAGACAACCGGGAGGCCCUGGGACCCGCGCCUGACCCACGCCCUGCCUGGUGGGGCCACCCCUCGGCCUGCGGAGCCUCUCCACCCAGGCACCCGCUUCCUCCCCGGGGCGGAGCCCGGCGGCCACGGGCCAAGCGCCAUAAAAUUUAAAGAGAGACGAUGCACUGUGGCGCUCCUCAGUAUUGCUGGCAUGCCCUCAUCGAGGUCAAAAAGUUGUUGCCCUGUUUCCCAGCCUCCUUUGCACCUGGGAUAAUCAUGUUCAUUGCUGUGACAAAAUACCUGGCAGAAGGAACUUGACGAGCCACUGAGAUGACUCAGCAGGUAAAGACACCUGCCACCAAGCCUGAUGAUCUAAACUGAUGGCCAGGACUCACAUGAUGAAGGGAGAGAACCAACUCCCACAAGUUUCCCUCUGACCUUUGAGCUCCACACGUGUGCUGUGGCAUACAUAUUCCCAUGAGUAUGCACAUGCAGACACACACACACACAAAGUAACUAAGUUCAUGAAACAAAAUUUAAAAAGCAACUUCAGAAAAGGAGGGCUGGUUUCCUUGGACUCAUGAUUUGAGAGAAUACAGUUCCUUCGUGGUGGGAAGGCAUGGCAGCAGGAGAAUGAGGUGGCUGGUCACAUUUUGUCCUCAGUCUAAGAGCAGAGCAAAGUGAAAGCUAGCACUGAGCUUGCUUUUUCUUUCUUCUCUUUAUUCCCUUCAGAACUCCAGACCAUGGGAUGGUGUUGCUCACGCCUAUGGCCAGUCUUCCCUCCUCACCCUUCCAAACCCACGCAGAGAUGUGUCUCCCAGAUGAGUCUAAAUUCAGUCAAGCCGACAGUGAACAUUAUAACCAUCACACCAUGUGACCUAGUUUCACUGGUGAAAUGUUGAUACUCAUGGUGGGAUCUGGAUAAGAAAUAGCUAGUGCCAUUAAUUUCCCUCUCCUUCCUGGUUGGAGCACAAACGCUGUCUGUGGUGACAGAAGUCACUUUGUGACCAUAAAUGAACAACCACAUAGAGAGAAAGGCAGCUAAGAAUGAGACGCACAGAAAGUAUUUAAAGGUACUGUAGGGUGGAGCAACACUUUCCCUUAGUCGUUUUUACUUGAGAAAGUAAGCGGUUUGCUUGAGCUAUUUUUCCUGGGUUUUUCUUUACUCAUACAGCCAAACACAUCCUCUCUCUAUCUAGUGGCUGGCGAUAACCAGUGGUAGUCAAGGAUUAACUCUGAAAUGAUGUCUGAGUUGGGCAGCA